UACGAAGGUCCCGAGCGUUAUCCGGAUUUAUUGGGUUUAAAGGGUGCGUAGGCGGGUUAUUAAGUCAGUGGUGAAAGCCUGCAGCUUAACUGCAGAAUUGCCAUUGAUACUGAUGAUCUUGAGUAUGAUUGAGGUGGGCGGAAUGUGUCAUGUAGCGGUGAAAUGCUUAGAUAUGACACAGAACACCGAUUGCGAAGGCAGCUCACUAAGUCAUAACUGACGCUGAUGCACGAAAGCGUGGGGAGCAAACAGG
rnacentral:rRNA from 1 species